GGCUGAAAGGGACAGAAAAGGGACAGAAGGAAGAAGCAUGGCUCUGAGGGCAGAGCGGUGGCUACCGAGGCCAGAGACGGGCCAGGCCCAGAGGGUAGGACCGCACCCCCCAGCUCCAGAGGGUGCGCCUGCACCC